UUUGGUUUUUUGUUUUUUGUUUUGUUUUGUCUUUGUUUUUUUUUCCUUCACGGUUCAUGAGUUCCGGCGCUCCAAAAAAUUGUUUUGGGUUCUCCUCCACAUUGUGGAAAUGUUGCGCACUUUUGAGAAGGGCUCGAGGCGAUCGUGUUGCCGGUGGAGGGCGACUACAAGGGUGCCGGCGUUGCGAAGGCUCAAGAUCUGGAACUGGUUCCUUUCCUCGCUUUGCUACAGUGCAGCAAGUGUUUGGUAUUCCUUAACGCAGCGGUGCAGCAACGACACUACGACAUUAUUUUUACCUUCUUCCAAAUUCUUCCCUUCUUACUGUGUUGCAGAGGCGUGUUGAAGUGGCUCAAGUUGCGGUGGUCGAUUAGGAUUGGCAGCAAUAAUCUGGCGCAACAGAAGCUCCUCUGUUGUUUUUUUCCCUUGUGUGUUACAGGAGCUUCGAGCGCUCUGACUAUGAGGGUUGUUCCUUGCGCUUCGCGAAUUCUGGCGUUGAGGUAUCACGUUCAGAGGCUCAGUGAGCUGGAUUGCUUAGCGACAUUGAAGUUGAAGGUGGCAUUGCCGUUGUUCCUCGACCUGUUUGAGUUAUCUUCCUAUUUUUCUCCUCCUCGAUUUUGUGCUGGAAAGGCUUCGCAAGGGUGGUUGGGCUGCAAUGUUGUGGCAGUCCCUUGUGGUUCGUCUGGAUUUAUUUCCUAUACAAAGGUUGCAGGACUUGGAAGAACACCUGUUGUGCGACGUUGAUUUGGUUGGUUCAGCGAAGGCUGCGGACAUUUUGACGAGGUCGAUUAGGGGCGUUGGGUGUGGUUGAUUUAAUCAAACGAUAGGCAAUCACCGUGACUUGAAACUUGUAGCAAUUGUGUUAACGACUAGUGUCACAUCAGGUGGUCAUUAUGAGAGCUAGCCCAACAAUUGUUCAUCUUUGAGUGCAAUUGCAAUUUCUGUGAAGACUAUUGCGAUGAAGAUUAAUGAGCAAGCAAGUAACAAAGUCACAAGCCCAAAAAUUCUAGUAGAACGUCAAGCUACUUCAUUACAAAGCACAAAAUAAUAGAUACAUUUUAGUGAUUCAAUUCAAACUUCAUUUCUAAGCUCAUUAAAAAGGUUUGAGAAUUUGAACUUUAUCUUCUUUGUUUUGAUCAUAA